GUUUUGGCUGUGUCGAAAUAGUAGCUCCCAGAGGAAGCCAUGCUGAGAAAAAGGAAGUAGGUCAAAAGCGCAGGGCUGUACUGUGGUGCGAGGACCGCCAUAUGCAAGAGGCCUCUGAGGGUCCAGGAGGAUGGCCACCCUCGCUCUAGGCCCUAACGCAAGUGCUUAAAUGCAAGACAAAUGGAGCCAUAUCCAUCCAUACCCAGCCUGGCUCACCCUCCUCCAGACGCCAACCUCCUGGCUGUGGUGGGAAGCGAAAGGAGCAGGUCUGGUGGAUGCAAAGCGACUAGCUAGCGCCUCCCAGUCUGACUUAGAUCCGCAUUCCUCGUCAGGUCUAGAAAUUAGUACCAAUUGAACUAGCUUGUUUCGACAGGUCUGUUUCACAUCCUAUGAAUGUAUGUAAAUAAACUGUACAUAGGUGCGCAUCUACAUAAAAUAUCUUUUAAU
rnacentral:lncRNA from 1 species